rnacentral:rRNA from 1 species
UACAGGGGGAGCAAGCGUUAUCCGGAAUGAUUGGGCGUAAAGCAUUUGUAGGUGGCUCUUAAAGUCUACUGUCAAAUACCAAGGCUUAACCUUGGACAGGCAGUGGAGUACUCAAGAGCUAGAGUGUGGUAGAGGUAGAGGGAAUUCCAUGUGGAGCGGUGAAAUGCGUAGAGAUAUGGAGGAACACCAGCGGCGAAGGCGCUCUACUGGGCCAAGACUGACACUGAGAAAUGAAAGCUGGAGGAGCAAAUAGG